rnacentral:rRNA from 1 species
CAGUCGCCACGGUAAUACGUAGGUCCCGAGCGUUGUCCGGAUUUAUUGGGCGUAAAGGGAGCGCAGGCGGUUUAGUAAGUCUGAAGUUAAAGGCAUUGGCUCAACCAAUGUAUGCUUUGGAGACUGUUAGGCUUGAGUGCAGAAGGGGAGAGUGGAAUUCCAUGUGUAGCGGUGAAAUGCGUAGAUAUAUGGAGGAACACCGGUGGCGAAAGCGGCUCUCUGGUCUGUCACUGACGCUGAGGCUCGAAAGCGUGGGUAGCGAACAGGAUUAGAUACCCCCGUAGUCCCUGUCUCUUAUACC